AGAUGAACAUUGUUGACGCAAAACAAAUUGACUUUCGUUUGGUUUUAUCUCAAUAUACUGCUCAUUUUAAGAGAUUUAUUAACUCCAUAAUCCAAAUGCAUAAAUCAGGAGCACUAAAAAGAAAAGAAAAAAAUAAACGCAUAUACAAUGAAAGAAAAGGAAUACAGACUCUCAAUUAGGUGUAAAAAAACAAAGAUUGAAUUAGAUAAAAAUUCUGAAUAUGAAUUAGAAA